UACGAAGGGGGGCUAGCGUUGUUCGGAAUUACUGGGCGUAAAGCGCACGUAGGCGGAUAUUUAAGUCAGGGGUGAAAUCCCGGGGCUCAACCCCGGAACUGCCUUUGAUACUGGGUAUCUCGAGUCCGAGAGAGGUGAGUGGAAUUCCGAGUGUAGAGGUGAAAUUCGUAGAUAUUAGGAAGAACACCAGUGGCGAAGGCGGCUCACUGGAUCGGUACUGACGCUGAGGUGCGAAAGCGUGGGGAGCAAACAGG
rnacentral:rRNA from 1 species